rnacentral:rRNA from 1 species
GACGAACGCUGGCGGCGUGCCUAAUACAUGCAAGUCGAACGCAGUGGGGACGGGUGAGUAACACGUGGGUAACCUCCCAUCAGAGGGGAUAACACUUGGAAACAGGUGCUAAACCGAUACUGAUGGAUGGACCCGAGGUGCAUUAGCUAGUUGGUGAGGUAACGGCUCCCCAAGGCCACGAUGCAUAGCUGACCUGUGAGGUUGAUCGGCCACCCUGUGGCUGAGACACUGCCCAUACUCCUACGGGAGGCAGCAGUAGGGACUCUUCGGCAAUGGACGAAAGUCUGACCGAGAAACGCCGCGUGAGUGAAGAAGGUUUUCGGAGCGUAAAACUCUGUUGUUAGAGAAGCGGUAUCUAACCACAAAGCCACGGCUAACUACGUGCCAGCAGCCGCGGUAAUUC